GACGAACGCUGGCGGCACGCCUAAUACAUGCAAGUCGAGCGAACAGAUGAAGUGCUUGCGCUUCUGACGUUAGCGGCGAACGGGUGAGUAACACGUAAGGAAUCUACCUAUAAGCGGGGGAUAACAUUCGGAAACGGGUGCUAAUACCGCAUAAUAUCUUCUUCCGCAUGGAAGAAGAUUGAAAGACGGCUCUGCUGUCACUUAUAGAUGACCUUGCGGUGCAUUAGUUAGUUGGUGGGGUAAUGGCCUACCAAGACGAUGAUGCAUAGCCGACCUGAGAGGGUGCUCGGCCACAUUGGGACUGAGACACGGCCCAAACUCCUACGGGAGGCAGCAGUAGGGAAUCUUCCGCAAUGGGCGAAAGCCUGACGGAGCAAUGCCGCGUGAGUGAAGAAGGCCUUCGGGUCGUAAAACUCUGUUAUAAGAGAAGAACAAAUUGUAGAGUAACUGCUACAGUCUUGACGGUAUCUUAUCAGAAAGCCACGGCUAACUACGUGCCAGCCGCCGCAGUAA
rnacentral:rRNA from 1 species